CCCCAACCCACCGUCCUCUUCUCUCCUGCGCAUCUUCUCCUCUGCAGUCCGUCGGAAUUUUUUUUUCCCCUUCUCGUCGGAGCUUGUUCUCCGCUCGUCGGUGCUGUGUGUUCGAGUCUUUCUCUCUCCUCCCUCGAGACUCUCUCUCUCGUCGCGCUUUUUGUUCGCGAUUUUGCUGCUGCUCUCGACGCUGUUAUUCGGUGGUGCUUCGCCACCACCGCACGUUGUCGUGCUGCUGCCGGUUGUGGUCAUGGUGCCGUCAAGGUCGGUUUUUCCCUCCCCUGCUCGCGUUGUCGUUGUUGUUCUGCUGCCGCGGUCGACUUGCGCUGCUGCUGUCGCCACCUCGGUGUUGGUGGUACACCGAGUACCGAAGUAUUUUAAAUGUUUCAGGUUGAAGCCGUGAGUUAUUCUUUUGCAAGUUGAAGCUGAUACGAGAUGAUGCCGUAUUAUAUUUGUUAUUGAAGUGAGGACGCUCCACUUGUAAUAGUUAAUCGUUUAAUUUCUAUAAUAUAUUUUCUUUAUUUAAGAA